UACGAAGGUGGCAAGCGUUGUUCGGAUUUACUGGGCGUACAGGGAGCGUAGGCGGUUGGAUAAGCCCUCCGUGAAAUCUCCAGGCUUAACCUGGAAAGUGCAGAGGGGACUGUUCAGCUAGAGGAUGGGAGAGGAGCGCGGAAUUCCCGGUGUAGCGGUGAAAUGCGUAGAGAUCGGGAGGAAGGCCGGUGGCGAAGGCGGCGCUCUGGAACAUUUCUGACGCUGAGGCUCGAAAGCGUGGGAGCAACAGG
rnacentral:rRNA from 1 species